GGCAAGGUCCAAGAAGGGCAAGGGCUGAUGUUCCUUACCAGCGACUCACUGCAGAACAUUAUUGUUCAGUGGUAUAGAAGUUCUUCCUAUCUACCACUUUGGCACAAAUGACCGAAGCUGUGACUUCUGUUCAAUGUUAAACUGCUUUAAACAGGUUAACUUUCCCACAGUCACAAAACCUGUAAGCAGCGGAGAUAAGACUUGGACACAGAAUAGAGGGAUGGCUUAGCAGUUAUGAGGAUGCUUUUCCCAGCAUCCAAUCAGGUGGCCCACAACCUCCUAUAACUAAACCUCCAGGGGACCUGCUAUCUUCCUCUGGAGUCCACAAGCACAUGUGCACACACACACACACACACACACCCAUAAUUAAAAAGAAAAAUAGAUCUUAAACACACACACACCACCACCACCACCACCACGGCCCUCUGAGUCAUAAUAGAGGUGUGUUACAAGUAACAGACAAGUCCUUGUGGCCUUCAGGACGCCGUGGAAUAUCACUGGCACUGGAAAACAAACUUGAGACCACUUGUGCCACCUCAGCCCAUAUAUCACAUGGGACAGAGGUAUCAAGAAGCGGGGGUACAGUGCUUGCCUGGCAGGCACACCGAAAGAGCUGAGUGUGCUGCCAAGAAACCAAGUGUUUAAAAUGUUGAUUCCGGAUGAAGAGGAAGCCUGAAAGAUGACUUCAACACGGCCUUUACUUGGGCUGAGAGGUAGCUGAUCUUGUUUGAAAUCCACAGACUAGAAGACACUUGGUGAGAGCAGAGAGAGCAGUAAGCUGGAGGCUUAACUGGACGCUAAUUCUCUUGGAAAGCAACACUCACCAAGUCUAAAGUCCUAAUGCUCCACUUUAACCUCAUGGAAAGAACGCUGCCCAGGGUUGCUUAGCUACCUGACUCCUGCGGUGCCAACAGCUGUGAUAUACUUAAGGAACUUAACGGCUCAUAAACCGGUUUCCUCAGCUAAUAGCCCUCAUUUGACAACUAUGCUGCCUAUAGUGACUUUUUUUGUGUCUUACUCGCCCCAAGCCAUGGCUGGCUUCAGACUUCUGAGCCUCCUGCCUCCACCUCCUAAGUGCAUUUCUUCAACCAUAAACUUUAGUGAGUCAUCUCUGUUGCCAUUCCAGCAGAAAACGGUGCUAUGGAUUGGGUGUGGUCUGUGUUCUCUACUGUCACAGAAGCCUUGGCCGUGAGAUGCCUGGUGCUCUUAGAAACAUGACUCAUUGGUUACUAGGGUUGACCAGGUCUAUCUGGCUGAGCGGCGACCCCUUCCUUCUCCACUCUUCCCUGCGUCACUCCAGAAACAAGCAUCUCCCUCUUCACUAACUGCCUGGGUCAGAUACUCUGUUAUAAGGGCACAAAGCUGACUAGCAGAAAAAAUAUAUACGCUAUUUUCAUACCGGGGGUGGGGCGGGGGGGGGGAGAAUCAUUCAUUUUGGAGGUCUCCCACGCUCUGGGCCCACACCCACGAAGGAUGGGCAGCAGUAACUGGACCUAACAGGAAGUUAUAAAGCAAAAUGAGGUUGAGAGGGGUAAGCUGGAGGGCAAAAGUGGGGAGCAGCCAUGAUCAUAUUUCCUUGUAUAUCUGUAUGAGGUGCUUAACAAUAAAGCAAGCAUUUUUUUCACUG
rnacentral:lncRNA from 1 species